rnacentral:lncRNA from 1 species
UAAUUUCAUCUGUUGUAACGAAUAUCCCCUAUUGAGGAAAAUAAUGAAACCCAAACCAUCAGGAACGGUAUCACUUGAGCAGAGCAUAGGUGCAAGUAGCAUCCGUGUUAUAUGCAGAAACAUUCACCUUGACCCCAGGGGGGAUCUGGGCUGAGACCAGAUGACUGAAAUCUCUGGGCGAUGGUGAACACAGAAUUGGGGGACAGCAGAUAUGAAGACGCACUGAGCCACAUGCCGGAUGCCCCAAGCGCAGAGAGAGCUUGUGAGCUUCUAGCGGUGGAGACUUGACACACUGCGGGAGAGGAAAAUGAAGUUACUGGACCCACUGAAACGGGACUCAUUGAUCCUCUAGCCCAUGGUGGGCAGUGUGCAUCAGCGUGGUCCUUCAGAUUUUUAGAUGCUCCUUCUCUUCAAAUUUCGCGCUCAUCAAAGUACAUAUUUUUCUGCACUGUAUCAAAG